rnacentral:rRNA from 1 species
ACGGCGGGCCAUAGAGGGUGACAGCCCCUUAGUCGAAAGCGCAAGCAACCCUAUCUGGUACCUGAGUACCGCAGGACACGUGCAAUCCGGCGGGAAUCUGGAGGGACCACCCUCCAAGGCUAAAUACUCCGUUACUGACCGAUAGUGAACAAGUACCGCGAGGGAAAGGCGAAAAGAACCCCGGCGAGGGGAGUGAAAUAGAACCUGAAACCGUACGUCUACAAGCAGUGAAAGCACCGUGCCGCAAGGCCGUGCGAUCACGUACCUUUUGCAUAAUGGGCCUGCGAGUUACCGUACGUGGCAAGGUUAAGCCGUCAGGUGGAGCCGGAGCGAAAGCGAGUCUUAACAGGGCGAAUAGUCGCGUGCGGUAGACCCGAAACCUUAGCGAUCUAUCCAUGGCCAGGUUGAAGGG